AUAGGGCGUUUAGUAUUUGGUCGUAGACCCGAAACCAGGUGAUCUACCCUUGGUCAGGUUGAAGUUCAGGUAACACUGAAUGGAGGACCGAACCGACUUACGUUGAAAAGUGAGCGGAUGAACUGAGGGUAGCGGAGAAAUUCCAAUCGAACCUGGAGAUAGCUGGUUCUCUCCGAAAUAGCUUUAGGGCUAGCCUCAAGUGAUGAUUAUUGGAGGUAGAGCACUGUUUGGACGAGGGGCCCCUCUCGGGUUACCGAAUUCAGACAAACUCCGAAUGCCAAUUAAUUUAACUUGGGAGUCAGAACAUGGGUGAUAAGGUCCGUGUUCGAAAGGGAAACAGCCCAGACCACCAGCUAAGGUCCCAAAAUAUAUGUUAAGUGGAAAAGGAUGUGGCGUUGCCCAGACAACUAGGAUGUUGGCUUAGAAGCAGCCAUCAUUUAAAGAGUGCGUAAUAGCUCACUAGUCGAGUGACACUGCGCCGAAAAUGUACCG
rnacentral:rRNA from 1 species